rnacentral:sRNA from 1 species
UCCUAGCCCCGAUGGGAGGGAAAAUCCUUUUGUGCGGUCCCGAGGCUUCGGGAGGCACAAAAGAUUUGGAAGGACAGCGGGAUUAGCU